GCUGCUAUCACUUAUUUCAAGGCAGAACCUUAGGUGCAUGCUAGAAAAUGGCCUACACUGACACAAUUUUAAAGACAAUUUUGGACAGAGCUCAGGAAGAGACGAGGAAAGCUGUGAGAAAAGUUCCUUUCUUCUGAGAGAACACCUAACCAUUCUACAUGACUCAAAAAGAGAACAGACUUCCUCUCAGCUCCAGAAAAGACUGGGGACACUCUGAGUUCCAGAAUUCAAAAAAGCACACACACACACACAUUCACACAAGUACUUAACUCAAGAAGCACUGUGGUCCCACAAGAAUCUGGUUUAAUACUAUUCAGUAUGAUCUACAAAGAUGAGUCUAGAAAUAAACAAAAUCAUCUUUCCAUCACA